AUGGAAAUUUACAACUAAGGAGAAGAAAUGAUGUGAAAAUUUAAACAAUUACAUCAUUGUAAAUAAUAAUGUACAACUUCUUCUUCCCCUUGCCAAUCCAUGUCCUCUUUUUUCUUUUCUUUCUUCUCUCCAUACCACAAUAACCAAUAUAAAUGAAUGAACGAAUAAAAAAAUUACAUUCUUAACUUUUUUUUUUGUUUUUUCAGGUAAAUAAAUGGGGAAUACAAGUCUGUACCCAUUUUAGAAAUAAUUGCUGGUUUUCAUGCGUGGUAAUAAAAACUUAGACCAAUAACUAAGGCUCAAGUGACACUACCACCAUGACCUCAACCCCAUUUUGAGUUUCUCAAAUCACAAUUCUAUUCCACGAAAUGCAUAUGGGUCACUAAAUGUCAACCCCAUUUUGAGUUUCUCAAAUCACAAUUCUAUUCCACGAAAUGCAUAUGGGUCACUAAAUG
rnacentral:lncRNA from 1 species